rfam:Leucobacter chromiiresistens strain NS354 contig_23, whole genome shotgun sequence.
UACGGCGGCUAUAGCGUCAGGGAAACGCCCGGUCACAUUCCGAACCCGGAAGCUAAGACUGACUGCGCCGAUGGUACUGCAAGGGGGACCUUGUGGGAGAGUAGGACACCGCCGGAC